UAUAUGGUACAUGAAAUGAGGAGUGACAUGAGAUGCAGUAUCUUCAUGGGUGAUAAUGGGAUUUGAUAGGAGUGAAAUUUAUUGAUUUAUAGCUCAAUUAUUUAUGGUAAUUAAUCUUCGGAUUGGCUUUAUAAGGAUUCCAGUUUAUUAAUAAGUCUUCGGUUACAUUGAAAUUGCCACUGAAUGCAAUCCGCCCAAGUGUGUCAAGUGAAACGGCCUUAAUUGUAUUAUUUUAGGGAAUGUACUCCAAUUAUAUUACGCUAAAACAAGACAAUUUAUGAAAAAUUAAUUUUAAAUUUG